UACGAAGGGGGCUAGCGUUGCUCGGAAUCACUGGGCGUAAAGCGCACGUAGGCGGCUUUUUAAGUCAGGGGUGAAAUCCUGGAGCUCAACUCCAGAACUGCCUUUGAUACUGAGAAGCUUGAGUUCGGAGAGGUGAGUGGAACUGCGAGUGUAGAGGUGAAAUUCGUAGAUAUUCGCAAGAACACCAGUGGCGAAGGCGGCUCACUGGCCCGAUACUGACGCUGAGGUGCGAAAGCGUGGGGAGCAAACGGG
rnacentral:rRNA from 1 species